rnacentral:rRNA from 1 species
UACGUAGGAGACGAGCGUUGUCCGGAAUUACUGGGCGUAAAGCGCGUGUAGGCGGACAGGCAAGUCUGCUGUGAAAGCUCCUGGCUUAACCGGGAGUGGUCGGUGGAAACUGCUCGUCUGGAGGACGGUAGAGGUAGGUAGAAUUCCCGGUGUAGUGGUGAAAUGCGUAGAGAUCGGGAGGAAUACCUGUGGCGAAGGCGGCCUACUGGGCCGGACCUGACGCUGAGACGCGAAGGCGUGGGGAGCGAACGGG